rnacentral:rRNA from 1 species
UACGUAGGGUGCAAGCGUUGUCCGGAAUUAUUGGGCGUAAAGGGCUCGUAGGCGGUCUGUCGCGUCGGGAGUGAAAACUCAGGGCUUAACCCUGAGCCUGCUUCCGAUACGGGCAGACUAGAGGUAUGCAGGGGAGAACGGAAUUCCUGGUGUAGCGGUGAAAUGCGCAGAUAUCAGGAGGAACACCGGUGGCGAAGGCGGUUCUCUGGACUGCAACUGACACUGAGAAACGAAAGCCAGGGUAGCAAACGGG